CACAACAAUCAAAAGAUGCAGUAGGGCAUCUCAUUCAUUUCGCCGGCAGAAGGAGUAGAGGGAGUGACGGCGCCUUUGGUGUCUCCUCCUUUCUUUUCCUUUCUUAUUUUUGGAAUUCAAAUAAUAUUAUCAUUGAUUUUAUUAUCUUGUAAUUUGUUAUUUACAUUAGAUUAGGUUAGGUUAAUUUUUUGUAUUAAUACUUGGAUUAUAAAUGAAGUUUUUUGGAGCAACAAGAAGUGGCGAUUUCAUAAAGCUUUAUCAUCUUCAUUUCUUAAUCAGUAUUGAUGGGACUCGGGAGAUAGUUGUAUGCUACUUCUGCCAUUGUUAGCAAUUGCAAGCUUGCUGGAAGAUCUCAUGUUCUACUGUUUUACAUGUUUCUAAAACAUGUUUCUAUUCUUUCUGCUCAUAUUAACUGUUCAAACAGCUUUAAGAAGUUGAUAUAGAUUGGUCUCUGAAACUCAUGAACCAUUUGCUUUCACAAAUCACAUCACAUGAAAAUGACUUAAGUGUAAUUUGUCACCUAUGAAAAUACAAUUAUUAUUUAUUGAUGUUUCA